GAAGCUGACCAGACAGUCGCCGCUUCGUCGUCGUCCUCUUCGGGGGAGACGGGCGGAGGGGAGGAAAGUCCGGGCUCCAUAGGGCAGGGUGCCAGGUAACGCCUGGGGGGGAAACCCACGACCAGUGCAACAGAGAGCAAACCGCCGAUGGCCCGCGCAAGCGGGAUCAGGUAAGGGUGAAAGGGUGCGGUAAGAGCGCACCGCGCGGCUGGUAACAGUCCGUGGCACGGUAAACUCCACCCGGAGCAAGGCCAAAUAGGGGUUCAUAAGGUACGGCCCGUACUGAACCCGGGUAGGCUGCUUGAGCCAGUGAGCGAUUGCUGGCCUAGAUGAAUNUUUACGUAAAAACCCGCUUCGGCGGGUUUUUGCUUUUGGAGGGGCAGAAAGAUGAAUGACUGUCCACGACACUAUACCCAAAAGAAAGCGGCUUAUCGGUCAGUUUCACCU
rnacentral:RNase_P_RNA from 1 species